GGGUAACCUGCCCAAAAUGGGGGGAUAACAUUUGGAAACAAAUGCUAAUACCGCAUAAUAGUUAGAACCGCAUGGUUCUAAUUUGAAAGAUGGUUUCGGCUAUCACUUUUGGAUGGACCCGCGGCGUAUUAGUUAGUUGGUGAGGUAAAGGCUCACCAAGACAAUGAUACGUAGCCGAACUGAGAGGUUGAUCGGCCACAAUGGGACUGAGACACGGCCCAUACUCCUACGGGAGGCAGCAGUAGGGAAUCUUCCACAAUGGGCGAAAGCCUGAUGGAGCAACACCGCGUGAGUGAAGAAGGGUUUCGGCUCGUAAAACUCUGUUGUUGGAGAAGAACGUAUGUAAUAGUAACUGAUUAUAUAGUGACGGUAUCCAACCAGAAAGCCACGGCUAACUACGUGC
rnacentral:rRNA from 1 species